CAGUAGCCGCGUAAUACGUAGGGUGCAAGCGUUAAUCGGAAUUACUGGGCGUAAAGCGUGCGCAGGCGGUUAUAUAAGACAGAUGUGAAAUCCCCGGGCUCAACCUGGGAACUGCAUUUGUGACUGUAUAGCUAGAGUACGGCAGAGGGGGAUGGAAUUCCGCGUGUAGCAGUGAAAUGCGUAGAUAUGCGGAGGAACACCGAUGGCGAAGGCAAUCCCCUGGGCCUGUACUGACGCUCAUGCACGAAAGCGUGGGGAGCAAACAGGAUUAGAUACCCCCGUAGUCCCUGUCUCUUAUACC
rnacentral:rRNA from 1 species